ACGAUGAGGUCUUCAUGAAGAGCUGGUACUCCCUUUGUAAUAUAUUUCCUGCUAUAUUUUACUUCUUCAUCCAAUCUUUUUGUUGCCUUCUUUUUUCCGUAUCUGUUCUUCUAGCGAUGAUCUAAUCCCCAAAUAUUUUCGGUGUUGUUUGUUCUGGUUUGCUGUUUCUUUUGAUUUUGUGGUGCUCACGCAGUUCUUGGUCGUUCUUGGCCUGGCGUUGUUUUAUUGGUUCUGUUGUUUGCUCUGUUUUGAUCUCAUUCCUCUUGGGUGUUUGGUCUAUAGCCCUUGUGAGCUUGGGUGGCUACCUUCUUGGUCUUCUAGUAGUGUUUUGGCUAGGCCGUUGGGUGUUGUUCUUUUGUGAAUCUUCUUAUCAUUUUCUCAUUAAUAAAAUUUUUU
rnacentral:misc_RNA from 1 species